UACGUAGGGUGCGAGCGUUAAUCGGAAUUACUGGGCGUAAAGCGUGCGCAGGCGGCUUUGCAAGACAGAUGUGAAAUCCCCGGGCUCAACCUGGGAACUGCAUUUGUGACUGCAAGGCUAGAGUACGGCAGAGGGGGAUGGAAUUCCGCAUGUAGCAGUGAAAUGCGUAGAUAUGCGGAGGAACACCAAUGGCGAAGGCAAUCCCCUGGGCCUGUACUGACGCUCAUGCACGAAAGCGUGGGGAGCAAACAGG
rnacentral:rRNA from 1 species